UACGUAGGGGGCUAGCGUUGUCCGGAAUCAUUGGGCGUAAAGCGCGCGUAGGCGGCCCGAUAAGUCUGCUGUGAAAGUCCAGGGCUCAACCCUGGAAUGCCGGUGGAUACUGUCGGGCUAGAGUUCGGAAGAGGCAAGUGGAGUUCCUGGUGUAGCGGUGGAAUGCGCAGAUAUCAGGAGGAACACCUAUAGCGAAGGCAGCUUGCUGGGACGACACUGACGCUGAGGCGCGAAAGCGUGGGGAGCGAACAGG
rnacentral:rRNA from 1 species